ACGAACGCUGGCGGCGCGCUUAAUACAUGCAAGUCGAACGAGAAGCCAGAGCUUGCUCUGGUGGAAAGUGGCGAACGGGUGAGUAACACGUGAGAAACCUGCCCCAAAGAUUGGGAUAAGCCUUGGAAACGAGGUCUAAUACCAAAUACCUUCCUUUAACACAUGUUAAAAAGAAGAAAUGCUCCGGCGCUUUGGGAUGGUCUCGCGAUCUAUCAGCUUGUUGGUGAGGUAACGGCUCACCAAGGCAUCGACGGAUAGCUGGUCUGAGAGGAUGUCCAGCCACAUUGGAACUGAGACACGGUCCAAACUCCUACGGGAGGCAGCAGUAGGGAAUCUUGCACAAUGAGGGAAACCUUGAUGCAGCGACGCCGCGUGCGGGACGAAGGCCCUAGGGUUGUAAACCGCUUUCAGUAGGGACGAAAGUGACGGUACCUACAGAAGAAGCCCCGGCCAACUAUGUG
rnacentral:rRNA from 1 species